UACAUUGGUUUUCCUUUUUACAAUUGAAAUCACUCGUUAAUACACAUGGACUGGACUGUUGGAUAUGUGAUACUGAGUAGAAGAGAUGUUGCCUCCUUGACAUGCUGUGUAAUUGCAUCUUUAGUCAUGCCAUGAAUCUCCUGAUUUGAAGCAUGGUCCUAAGCUUUUUCAACUAAGCUGCUGUGAACAAAAUCAAACAAAAUCAUCCUCGUUUUCUUGUAAUCAAGUCAACUAUCCUGUCUCCUCUCAAAAUUACCGCCACCUCAUCCAUGAGGGACUUGUCCAGCUAGGGGAUAUGCUGACAGAAAGGAAUGAGUUAGCGGUCCAAUUGGCCGCUCAUUCCAGGCCUGAUUAGCUUUUUAGUUUUUACAGAAAAAAAAGAUUGAUUAUUUUUCCCA